AUCUAUACUGUGAAACUGCGAAUGGCUCAUUAAAUCAGUUAUCGUUUAUUUGAUAGUACCUUACUACUUGGAUAACCGUGGUAAUUCUAGAGCUAAUACAUGCUAAAAACCUCGACUUCGGAAGGGGUGUAUUUAUUAGAUAAAAAACCAAUGCCCUUCGGGGCUCCUUGGUGAAUCAUGAUAACUUAACGAAUCGCAUGGCCUUGCGCCGGCGAUGGUUCAUUCAAAUUUCUGCCCUAUCAACUUUCGAUGGUAGCAUAGUGGGCUACCAUGGUAUCAACGGGUAACGGGGAAUUAGGGUUCUAUUCCGGAGAGGGAGCCUGAGAAACGGCUACCACAUCCAAGGAAGGCAGCAGGCGCGCAAAUUACCCAAUCCCGACACGGGGAGGUAGUGACAAUAAAUACUGAUACAGGGCUCUUUUGGGUCUUGUAAUUGGAAUGAGUACAAUUUAAAUACCUUAACGAGGAACAAUUGGAGGGCAAGUCUGGUGCCAGCAGCCGCGGUAAUUCCAGCUCCAAUAGCGUAUAUUAAAGUUGUUGCAGUUAAAAAGCUCGUAGUUGAACCUUGGGCCUGGCUGGCCGGUCUGCCUCACCGCAUGUACUGGUUCGGCCGGGCCUUUCCUCCUGGGGAUCCGCAUGCCCUUCACUGGGCGUGUUGGGGAACCAGGACUUUUACUUUGAAAAAAUUAGAGUGUUCAAAGCAGGCCUUUGCUCGAAUACAUUAGCAUGGAAUAAUAGAAUAGGACGUGCGGUCCUAUUUUGUUGGUUUCUAGGACCGCCGUAAUGAUUAAUAGGGAUAGUCGGGGGCAUCAGUAUUCAGUUGUCAGAGGUGAAAUUCUUGGAUUUACUGAAGACUAACUACUGCGAAAGCAUUUGCCAAGGAUGUUUUCAUUAAUCAGUGAACGAAAGUUAGGGGAUCGAAGACGAUCAGAUACCGUCGUAGUCUUAACCGUAAACUAUGCCGACUAGGGAUCGGGCGAUGUUAUUCUUUUGACUCGCUCGGCACCUUACGAGAAAUCAAAGUCU
rnacentral:rRNA from 1 species